GACGAACGCUGGCGGCGUGCCUAUUACAUGCAAGUAGGACGCAGUUGCGAAUGGGUGAGUAACGCGUAGGUGAAUGCCUAUUAGAGGGGGAUAACUAUUGGAAACGAUAGCUAAUACCGCAUACUAGUAGAUUGACCUGCUUUGUAUUAGCUAGUAGGUAGGGUAAUGGCCUACCUAGGCAACGAUACAUAGCCGAGCUGAGAAGGAGAUCGGGCACACUGGGACUGAGACAAGGCCCAAACACCUACGGGAGGAAGCAGUAGGGAAUCUGCGGAAAAGGGGGGAACCCUGAGCGAGCAAAGCGGCGUGAGUGAAGACGGUUUUCGGAUCGGAAAGCUCUGUUGUGAAAGAAGCGGUACUUAACCAGAAAGGGACGGCUAACUACGUGCCAGCAGCCGCGGUAAUAC
rnacentral:rRNA from 1 species